rnacentral:rRNA from 1 species
AGAGUUUGAUCCUGGCUCAGGACGAACGCUGGCGGCGUGCCUAACACAUGCAAGUCGAACGGGGUUGAGUGCUUCGGCAUUCAACCUAGUGGCGAACGGGUGAGUAACGCGUGAAGAACCUGCCUUUCAGUGGGGGACAACAGUUGGAAACGACUGCUAAUACCGCAUGAUGCUUUUGAGGGACAUCCCUUAAAAGCCAAAGCUAUAUGUGCUGGAAGAUGGCCUCGCGUCUGAUUAGCUAGUUGGUGGGGUAACGGCCCACCAAGGCGACGAUCAGUAGCCGGUCUGAGAGGAUGAACGGCCACAUUGGGACUGAGAUACGGCCCAGACUCCUACGGGAGGCAGCAGUGGGGAAUAUUGGGCAAUGGGCGAAAGCCUGACCCAGCAACGCCGCGUGAAGGAAGAAGGCCUUCGGGUUGUAAACUUCUUUUACCAGGGACGAAGGACGUGACGGUACCUGGAGAAAAAGCAACGGCUAACUACGUGCCAGCAGCCGCGGUAAUACGUAGGUUGCAAGCGUUGUCCGGAUUUACUGGGUGUAAAGGGCGUGUAGGCGGAGAUGCAAGUUAGGAGUGAAAACUAUGGGCUCAACCCAUAGACUGCACUUAAAACUGCUGUUCUUGAGUGAAGUAGAGGUUGGCGGAAUUCCUAGUGUAGCGGUGAAAUGCGUAGAUAUUAGGAGGAACAUCAGUGGCGAAGGCGGCCAACUGGGCUUUUACUGACGCUGAGGCUCGAAAGCGUGGGGAGCAAACAGGAUUAGAUACCCUGGUAGUCCACGCUGUAAACGAUGAUUACUAGGUGUGGGGGGAUUGACCCCUUCCGUGCCGCAGUUAACACAAUAAGUAAUCCACCUGGGGAGUACGGCCGCAAGGCUGAAACUCAAAGGAAUUGACGGGGGCCCGCACAAGCAGUGGAGUAUGUGGUUUAAUUCGAAGCAACGCGAAAACCUUACCAGGUCUUGACAUCCUAGGAAUCCUUAAGAGAUUAGGGAGUGCCUUCGGGAACCUAGAGACAGGUGGUGCAUGGUUGUCGUCAGCUCGUGUCGUGAGAUGUUGGGUUAAGUCCCGCAACGAGCGCAACCCUUACCAUUAGUUGCUACGCAAGAGCACUCUAAUGGGACUGCCGUUGACAAAACGGAGGAAGGUGGGGAUGACGUCAAAUCAUCAUGCCCCUUAUGACCUGGGCUACACACGUACUACAAUGGCAAUUAACAGAGGGAAGCAAUACAGUGAUGAGGAGCAAAUCCCUAAAAAUUGUCUCAGUUCGGAUUGUAGGCUGCAACCUGCCUACAUGAAGUCGGAAUUGCUAGUAAUCGCAGAUCAGCAUGCUGCGGUGAAUACGUUCCCGG